AGAGUUUGAUCAUGGCUCAGAGCGAACGCUGGCGGCAGGCCUAAUACAUGCAAGUCGAGCGCACCUUCGGGUGAGCGGCGGACGGGUGAGUAACGCGUGGGAACGUGCCCUUUGGUACGGAACAACUGAGGGAAACUUCAGCUAAUACCGUAUGUGCCCUUCGGGGGAAAGAUUUAUCGCCAUUGGAGCGGCCCGCGUUGGAUUAGCUAGUUGGUAGGGUAAAAGCCUACCAAGGCUACGAUCCAUAGCUGGUCUGAGAGGAUGAUCAGCCACACUGGGACUGAGACACGGCCCAGACUCCUACGGGAGGCAGCAGUAGGGAAUCUUGCGCAAUGGGCGAAAGCCUGACGCAGCCAUGCCGCGUGAAUGAUGAAGGUCUUAGGAUUGUAAAAUUCUUUCACCGGGGAAGAUAAUGACGGUACCCGGAGAAGAAGCCCCGGCUAACUUCGUGCCAGCAGCCGCGGUAAUACGAAGGGGGCUAGCGUUGCUCGGAAUUACUGGGCGUAAAGGGUGUGUAGGCGGAUAGUUUAGUCAGAGGUGAAAGCCCAGGGCUCAACCCUGGAAUUGCCUUUGAUACUGGCUAUCUUGAGUUCGGAAGAGGUAAGUGGAACUCCGAGUGUAGAGGUGAAAUUCGUAGAUAUUCGGAAGAACACCAGUGGCGAAGGCGACUUACUGGUCCGAUACUGACGCUGAGACACGAAAGCGUGGGGAGCAAACAGGAUUAGAUACCCUAGUAGUCC
rnacentral:rRNA from 1 species